rnacentral:lncRNA from 1 species
UAGCCUUCUCAGGUGAGUUCAAAGCUUAAUGAGUCUCUCUCUGAUCGUGUUCAAAUGAACUUCUUCUAAUACCUUUUCCUUUUUUGGUUCUGAGGUUUCGAUAAUUACGAAUCUGAGACAUGUUAGAUUGAGGAUUUUGAAAUGAGGGAUGCUCUUUGGCUCUGUUUGGUAAGUCAUAUUGGCGAGCUUCUAGUUUAUUUAUAGUUUAUAGUUUAUAAGUUAAUAUGACAAUUUAGAUCGAUUUGGUAAUGAUCUUUUCAUCAUGAGCUUAUAGUCUGUUUUAUUAACUUAUAGCUUAUCAUUUUUU